UUAUUUGCCGUCAAGCUUUCU
ensembl:piRNA 21ur-6431 ncRNA